rnacentral:rRNA from 1 species
ACGAACGCUGGCGGCGUGCUUAACACAUGCAAGUCGAACGGAAAGGCCCUGCUUGUGUGGGGUGCUCGAGUGGCGAACGGGUGAGUAACACGUGAGUAACCUGCCCUUGACUUUGGGAUAACUUCAGGAAACUGGGGCUAAUACCGGAUAGGAGCUCCUGCUGCAUGGUGGGGGUCGGAAAGUUUCGGCGGUUGGGGAUGGACUCGCGGCUUAUCAGCUUGUUGGUGGGGUAGUGGCUUACCAAGGCUUUGACGGGUAGCCGGCCUGAGAGGGUGACCGGCCACAUUGGGACUGAGAUACGGCCCAGACUCCUACGGGAGGCAGCAGUGGGGAAUAUUGCACAAUGGGCGGAAGCCUGAUGCAGCAACGCCGCGUGCGGGAUGACGGCCUUCGGGUUGUAAACCGCUUUCGCCUGUGACGAAGCGUGAGUGACGGUAAUGGGUAAAGAAGCACCGGCUAACUACGUG